rfam:Trichobilharzia regenti genome assembly, scaffold: TRE_contig0011855
GUACUGAUGAAGUGUCCAAAACCAGGACGAAACAGCUGUCCAGUAC